AUUCACGGAGAGUUUGAUCCUGGCUCAGGACGAACGCUGGCGGCGUGCUUAACACAUGCAAGUCGAACGAUGAACCAUU
rnacentral:rRNA from 1 species